AUUCCAGCUCCAAUAGCGUAUGUUUAAGUUGUUGCAGUUAAAAAGCUCGUAGUUGGAUUUCGGAUGGGAUUUGCCGGUCCGCCUUUGAGGUGUGUACUGGUAGGUCCUAUCUUGUUGUCGGGGACUAGCUCCUGGGCUUCACUGUCCGGGACUAGGAGCCGACGAAGUUACUUUGAGUAAAUUAGAGUGUUCAAAGCAAGCCUACGCUCUGAAUAUAUUAGCAUGGAAUAACACGAUAGGACUCUGGCUUAUCUUGUUGGUCUGUGAGACCAGAGUAAUGAUUAAGAGGGACAGUCGGGGACAUUCGUAUUUCAUUGUCAGAGGUGAAAUUCUUGGAUUUAUGAAAGACGAACUUCUGCGAAAGCAUUUGUCAAGGAUGUUUUCAUCA
rnacentral:rRNA from 1 species